GACGAACGCUGGCGGCGUGCUUAACACAUGCAAGUCGAACGGAAAGGCCCUGCUUUUGUGGGGUGCUCGAGUGGCGAACGGGUGAGUAACACGUGAGUAACCUGCCCUUGACUUUGGGAUAACUUCAGGAAACUGGGGCUAAUACCGGAUAGGAGCUCCUGCUGCAUGGUGGGGGUUGGAAAGUUUCGGCGGUUGGGGAUGGACUCGCGGCUUAUCAGCUUGUUGGUGGGGUAGUGGCUUACCAAGGGUUUGACGGGUAGCCGGCCUGAGAGGGUUGCCGGCCACAAUGGGACUGCGAUACGGACCAGACUGCUACGGGAGGCAGCAGUGGGGAAUAUUGCACAAUGGGCGGAAGCCUGAUGCAGCAACGCCGCGUGCGGGAUGACGGCCUUCGGGUUGUAAACCGCUUUCGCCUGUGACGAAGCGUGAGUGACGGUAAUGAGUAAAGAAGCACCGGCUAACUACGUG
rnacentral:rRNA from 1 species